UACGAAGGGGGCUAGCGUUGCUCGGAAUUACUGGGCGGAAAGAGCGCGUAGGCGGACCUGUCAGUCAGGCGUGAAAGCCCAGGGCUCAACCCUGGAACUGCGCUUGAUACUGCGGGUAUAGAGUGCCGGAGAGGAUGGUGGAAUUCCCAGUGUAGAGGUGAAAUUCGUAGAUAUUGGGAAGAACAUCGGUGGCGAAGGCGGCCAUCUGGACGGCAACUGACGCUGAGGCGCGAAAGCGUGGGGAGCAAACAGG
rnacentral:rRNA from 1 species